UACAGGGGGUGCAAACGUUGCUCGGAAUUAUUGGGCGUAAAAGGCUUGUAGGUGGCCACGCCAAGUCGGAUGUGAAAUCUCCCGGCUCAACUGGGAGGGGUCAUUCGAUACUGGCGGGCUCGAGGCCGGUAGGGGGAAGUGGAAUUCCCGGUGUAGUGGUGGAAUGCGUAGAUAUCGGGAGGAACACCAGUGGCGAAGGCGGCUUCCUGGACCGGUUCUGACACUGAGGAGCGAAAGCGUGGGGAGCGAUCCGG
rnacentral:rRNA from 1 species